rnacentral:rRNA from 1 species
CGGGUAGCGGAACACGUACAGAACCUUCCUUUAAGCGGGGGAUAGCCCGGAGAAAUCCGGAUUAAUACCCCAUAGUAAUGUUGGGUGGCAUCACUUGAUAUUUAAAGAUUUAUCACUUAGAGAUGGCUGUGCGGCUGAUUAGGUAGUUGGCGGGGUAAAGGCCCACCAAGCCAUCGAUCAGUAACUGGUGUGAGAGCACGACCAGUCACACGGGCACUGAGACACGGGCCCG